UCAGCAACUCCCACACGCUGAGAAUUAAUUCACAAGGAACUGGGACAAAUAAUAAUUAACCUGGAUUCUUCAACAACUUUUGACUAGUGAUUUGAGACUCCAUGGAUUAACAUUGCUGAGAUCUAUGUGGUGGAGAAUUAGAAUUGGGUUUUAAUAUCACUGGUACAGGUCGUGAAAUUUGUUGUCUUUGUGGCAGCAUGCAAUAGAGAAAAGCUGUGAAUUACAAAACCUGACAGCGAUGGAGAUGAAGCUAUUCCUAAAACUUUGAGUGUAUGUCUUCAGGCUGCUCUACCUCCUCCUUAAUGGUAGCAAUGAGAAGAAGGCAUGUCCUGGAUGAUGGGAGUCCUUAAUGAUGGAUGCUGCCAUUUCGAGACAUCACCUUUUGAAGACAGAAACGUAACAAUCUACAGUAUGUUACAGGCCCUUCAACCCACAACUUUGGGCUGACCAGGUUUACUGUGCUUGGUCACUUCAAGCAAUGGAGAUUAAAAGAAACCCUGCCAAUGGUUCCACAAGAUAAGGAGACAUCCAAACCGACCAACAGUGAAUUGGAGAGUUUCCAUUUCUUGUAGCCUGGAGAAAGAACAGUUCAACAUUUCUUGUAGCCUGGAAUUGUGCACUCCCACCAGAAGCCAUUCAACAAACUCAAAGGGACUCUCUGUCCCAACAAAGGCAAAAAUAAAAUUGCAGGUACACAUAACCCUAUAUUGGGCCUCAGAAUAGUUAAACCAUUAAUGAGUCGGGUGAGACAGUCUUUGUUAUUUGUCUGUGCACUCGGGGCCAGCAGAUCUGAUUCCGGUCAUUAUUGAGUGAUUCUGGAGAGAAUGUACAGUACAAGGCCAUUGAGUACAAGAUCACAGAUGUUAGAAAAUAGAACUGUACAGCACAGGAACUGGCCAUUUAGCCCAUAAUGUUGUGCUGAACUAAAUAGAAAGCAAAUUAAAAAAACACCCAAACACUAAUCCCUCCUACCGACACCAUGUCCUUAUCCCUCCAUUACACCCAUGUGCUGAUCCAAACUUCUCUUAAAAGCCUCUAAUAUAUUUGCCUCUACCACCAUACCAGGUAGCACACUCCAGGCAAUCACCCAGGACUGAGUAAUAAAAAUAAAAAUUACACACCCCCCUUGAACCCCUCACCUUCAAUGCAUGCCCUCUGUUAUUAAACAUUUCAUCCCUGGGAAACAGAUUCUCCCUGUCUACUCUAUGCCUCUCAUAAUCUUAUAAACCUCUAUCAGAUUUCCUCUCUUUCUCCACUGCUCCAGAGAAAAGAACCCAAGUUUAUCCAGCCUCUCGUGACAGCACAUGCCCUCCAAACCAGACAGUGGUAAACCUCUUCUGUACUCUCUCCAAAGCCUCAACAUCCUUCCUAUAGUGGGGCGAUCAGAACUGUAUGCAAUACCACAGACAUGGCCUAACCAGUGUUUUAUAAAGUUGCAACACAAACACUUCAACUUUUGAACUCAUUGCCUCGAGUAACAAAUGUUCAUAACACUUCUCCCAGUAGGGCAGCACAGUGGUGCAUUGGUUAAUGGACCGCUGUAUCAGUGCCAGUUUUCCGGGUUCAAUUCCCGCCGCUGCCAUUUACGGAGUUCGGACUUUCUCCCUUUCUCUGGGCGCUCCGGUUUCCUCCCACGUUCUGAAGAUGGAAGGUGUUAAUCGGUCACAUGGGUAUAAUGUUGGCUGCAUGGGCCUGUUAUCACACUGUACCUUUAGAUACAAUUAAAAAAAAAUCCUCUUGCUAAAAUGCCUAACAUCCAGAGGUCAGGUACAGGCCGAAACGAGGUGGUGGGAUCCAAGCCCCAAGAGCGUGUCAAAGUGACUGAACCUGAAGUCUGGACGAUGACUUAAACACGGGGGUCGGAUUGGAAAGUUGGGCACAGGCAGAAUUGAGGGGGUGGGGUCCAGGCCCUAGAGUAGAUUGAAGCGGCUGAACCCGAAGUUUGGACAUUCAUUUAGACAGCGGGCCAGAUUGAAAAGGUCAGGGUGUCGGGGUUCAAGGUAAGGGACAGCCCGGUUCAGCACCCUGCUCCACUCUUCACUGAAUUAAGGGUCUGGGGAUGGAUUCUUUGCGGACUUCCGUUCACGGACUUAUAUUUUUAAAGGGUUCUUUUGGAUUUCUUUGUUUUGUGGCUGCCUGCUUGGAGACGAAUCUCAAGGUUGUGGUGGUGGUGCCAUCCGUCGGUCUCGAGAGACCAUGGAUCUGCACCUGGAGUUUCCAGGGCGCAGGCCUGGGCAGGGUUGUAUGGGAGACCAGCAGUUGCCCAAGCUGCAGGCCUUCCCCUCUCCAUGCCACCGAUGUUGUCCAAGGGAAGGGCACUGGGACCCAAGCAGUGUCAUUGCAGAGCAAUGUGUUGGACACAAACACGCUGCCUCAGCUGAGGCUCGAACCAGUGACCUUCAGGUUACUAGUCUGAUGCCUUGCCCACUAAGCCAACUCAAGGUUGUAUACACAUACUUCUAUAAUAAAUGUACUUUGAAAUCCCAGUUCAUAGACAAAGCACAUGGGUGAGGAUCCAUUCAGCAUCAAUCCAAGCAGAAGAUCACUCACUCAGGAAAGGAGCCAGGAAACACUGCAAGAACAGAAUUAGGCCAUUCAGCCCACAUCUGAUCUACUUUCCCCAAUGUCAUUCUCGCUAUUCGGUGCUCUGUCUUUAUUUUCCUGGGUACUACUGCAACACACUGAUGUGAUGAUGGCGGCUCCUGUUCCAACAUAUCGGUCCAUAAUCUCUGCUUGAGCCAAGAUGAGGCCAUCCUCAGGGUGGAGGAGAAACAUCUUACAUUCUGUCUUUAUUCUAUUCUGUCCUUAUAUUCUGAUGGUAUUGAUAUAAUUUCUCCUUCUGAUAAACAAAUUCAGCCCCUCCACCAAUUCCUCACUCUGACCAUUCACUUCUUCUCACCUGACUAUUACUUCCCCUGAGUCCCCUCCUCCUUUCUUCUAUGGCCCAGUCUCCUUUCCUAUCAGAUUCCUUCUUCUCUAGCUCUUUACCUUUCCCACCCACCUGGCUUCACCCAUCACCUUCUCCUCCCCCCACCAUUUUAUCCUGGCAUCUGCACCCUUCCUUCUCAGUCCUGAAGAGGGUCUCCGCUCGAAAUGCUGACUGUUUAUUCCUCUGUAUGGAUGCUGCCUGACCUGCAGAGUUCCUCCAGCAUUGUGUGUGGGUUCCUAUAGGUUUCACUGCUUUAUACAUACAAAAUUAAUAAAAUCAAUUUGCCAAUUUACUGUUAAUCCCCUUACCUAUUAAUCUUGGACUUAAAUACACCUAAUGACUUGGCAUCCGCAACCUUCUGGCGAUGAUUUCACAGAUUCACCACCCUCUGGCUGAAGAAAUUCCUCCUACCACAGUUCUACAUUCAGCUCUCAACCCUUCAUUCUGAGGUUUUGCCUUCGGAUCCCAGACUCUCCCGCUAAGGGAAACAUCCUCUCCACAUCCACUCCAUCCAGGCCUUUCAGCAUCAUUAAUACCAAGCCUGAUCUCUGACAGAAUGUAAUAGACCCCACCUUCCACAACAACUUUUUACAAGUGCAGUGGAUUCUAGAUGAUCGGGGCAGCUGCUUUCUUGGGAAGACUCUUGAAGGUCAAAAACUAAUUGAGAAAAUAACUGGGGUUCCCUCCAUUACUGGGACACUGGGACUGUUGUUCAACAGUUUCUAAAAGUUGGCAGUUGCGUGCACUUGUGACACUACAACAUGAACGGUUUCUAAAUGGCAUCAAUUGUGAGUGUUUGUGUUCAAAGAACAGUGAUUUUGGUCACUGAUAGCUGGUGAUAAAUAAGCAGUAAGACAACUUCUGAACUGUUUUGCUCACUGCGGAUUCAAGCAUUGUGGCUUGGAGCUUGGAGACUUCAACAAGUCAGGCACUACGAAGAAUUUAAAGGAAUUAACAAUCAUCUUGAAUGUUACAAUGAAAAUGAAGAUUGGACGACGCAAUUGUCAAAAGCAUUUGAUGAAUCAGGUUUAUCAUCACCCACAUGAGUCGUGAAACUUGUUAACUUAGCAGCAGUUCAAUGCAACACAUGAUAUAGAAGAAGAUAAGAUAUAAAAGUAAGUAAAUAAGUAAAUCAAUCCUCUGUUGGUAACUACUAGGAACAUAAGUUUUAGUUGUAUUGUAGUAGCAUUGUUUGGGUUUGGGUUACUGUGGAGAUACGUCUCUACCAAAGGGGGGGUAAGGUGCUCCUUCCCUCUGCUAGCCUGCAGGUCACACUUGGGCAAAGUUAACACCAGCUUAGCGCCCCCCCCCCCCCACCUGAUCAGGGUCAUGGGAGCAGAUGGUGGAUAGUCUUAUGAGCAGUUGGUGCAGAUCACAAGUCCUGGUUACGCGACCACUGACACCAGGCAGGCGAAAGAAAUUCAAAGGCAACACGAGUGUAUCUGCAGAAGUUGGAAAUAAAUAAAAACACAAAAUGCUGGCCGAACUCAGCAGGCCAGACAGCAUCUAUGGGAGGAGGUAAAGACGACAUUUUGGGCUGAAGCCCUUCAUCAGGAGUCAAGGCAAAAGAAAUUAUUGGCCAGUUACCCUUACCUUAGUGGUUGGGAAAAUGUUGUGGUUUUGGGGCACUUGGAGACAAAUGAUAAAUCAGCAUGGUUUCUGUGAAGGGAAAUCUUGCCUAACAAAUCUGUUAAAGUUUGUCAAGGAAGUAACAAGCAGGGUGGACAAAGGAGAGGCAGUGGAUGUCAUUUACUUGGAUUUUCAGAAGGCAUUCGAUAAGGUGCCACACAUGAGGAUGCUUAACAAGAUAAAAUCCUAUAGCGUUACAGGUAAGAUACUGGCAUAGAUAGAGCAAUGGCUGACAGGCAGGAGGCAGUGAGUGGGAAUAAAGGGGCCUUUUCUGGAUGUCUGUCAGUAUUGGGACCACUACUUUUCACUUUUGUCACUGAUUUGGAUAAUGGAAUUGAUGGGUUUGUGGCAAAGUUUGUAGGUGAUAUGAAGAUAGGUGGAGGGUUAGGCAGUGCGAGGAAGCAAUGUGAUUGCAACAGAACUUGUUUGGAAGAAUGGGCAAAAAAGUGGCAGAUGGAAUGCAUUUUGAUAAAAGGAACAAUAGUGUGGACUAUUAUCUAAAUGGGGAGAAGGUUCAAACAUCAGAGGUACAGAGAGUCCUCUUGCAAGACUCCCAGAAGGUUAAUUUACAGGUUGAGUCUGUGGUAGAGAAGGCAUUUAUUUCAAGGAGAAUACAAUAUAAAAGCAAGGAGAUAAUGCUGAGCUUUUAUAAUAUACUAAUCAGGCUGCAUUUGAAGAAUUGUCAACAGUUUUGACCCAUAUCUCAGAAAGGAUGUGUUGUCAUUGGAAAGAGUCCAUAGGAGGUUCACAAGGAUGAUUCUGCGAAUGAAGGGGUUAAUAUACGUUAAGCAUUUGGCAGCUUUGGGCCUGUACUCACUGGAACUUGGAAGAACGCAGGGGGAUCUCAUUGAAACCUACCAAAUGUUGAAAGGUCUAAAUAGUAUGGAUGUGGAGAGGAUGUUUCCUAUGGUGAGGUAUCCAGAAUUAGAGGGCACAGCCUCAAAAUUGAGGGGUAACCUUUUAGAUCAGAGGAAGGAGGAAUUUUUUUAGCCAAAGAAUAGUGAAUCUGUGGCAUGCUCUGUCACAGACUGUGUUGGAGGUCGUCCAUGGGCAGAAGUUGAUAGUUUCACGAUCGGUGAGGGCAAAGGAUAUGGCGAGAAGGCAAGUGUAUGGGGUUGAGUGGGAUCCGGGAUCAGCUAUGAUGGAAUGGAGGAGCAGACUCGAUGGGCUGAAUGGGCCUAAUUCUGCUCUUACAGCACAUAAUAAUGACAAUGAGUAGCAUUGGUAAUGUUCUAAUUUGUUCUAUAUUUCAUUUAAAUAGAUAAUCCGUUACUCAGUUAAACGGUAGCUUGUCUUUUUAUCCCCUUUUAACUAUUUCCAUGGAACUUUGGCUAAUUUGGGCAGCGACAUUAGUGGGCCAAAACUGUUUGGUCCCUAAGUGUCGCAAUUAACUAGAAUACACUGUAUUUAAGCAAGGGUUCCAAACCUUUUUUAAGCCAUGGAGCCUUACCAUUAACCAAGGGGUCCACGGACCACAGGUUGGAAACCCCAGUCUUAAAGUAAAAAUAAACAACUUCACUUCACAACAAGCAAUCUGCUGAAGGAACACAGCAGGUCGAGCAGCUUCUCUGGGAUGGAAGGAAUUACUGUCGAAUAGCUGCAAUGCUACCUACAAUGCAGUGAUGAACGGUCAGGUUCCAGUGGCUGAGAAUAUUUAAAACGAGUAAAGGAUGAAGCAUUUAAGCAAGUGAAUGGGACCAAUACUUAUACAGAUAUCAUGGUUAAAAUAGUCUUAUUUCAAGAUCCGUGUACAUUUAGAGCAGAGUCACACUGGUUCUUGAUUAGCAAGGGUAUCAAAGGUUACAGGGAGAAGGCAAGGGAAUGGGGGCGAGACAGAUCAAUCAGAAGAAAUGGUGUGCAGACUCGAUGGGCCUUAAGGUCUAAUUUUGCUCGUUUGUCUCCUGGUAUUAUAAUAUUUAUGAUUAUGAGCAAUAUGAUCCUGUAAUCCAAAUACACUGCUCUGCAAGUCAAGGAUAAAGCAGGCUCACUGUGUGUGUACUUGCCACCCAUCCCCCAUCACUCUCAGCUGCUCCAGUUGAGCAAGUACAACCCCGUACCAGCCUCAAUGCCCACAACCAGUACUAAAGGGACAAUGUCUGUGGAAGCGGUAUUGUUUAGUGGAUUACAGCAAAGGACACUCUGCUGCCAAACUGUAAAAUGGUCGUGCCUCCCUCCCUCCCCAUCCCCGGGUGACUAUAUAGAUUAUACAGUCGGCCCUCCUUAUCCAUGGGGGACUGAUUCCGGGAUCCCACGCGGAUACCAAAAUUCACAGAUGCUCGUCCCUUAUUUAACAAGUACCGGUGUGGUGGUCUUCAGGACCCAGCGGAACCCCGGACUUUACCUAACAUGUCUCUGUGCGGUGGACAUUAGGUCCUGGCGGCACAGCUCUAAAAAUGCAGUGUUCCUGUUCACGAAAAUAAUCACGAUCGCGAUUGAAAAUAAGGUGGAAGUAAUAAAGCGAUCAGAAAGAGAUGAAAUGCCAUUGGUCAUUGGAAAAGCGUUAGGCUACAGUCGGUCAACGAUUGGAACAAUUUUAAUGGAGCAUGUGAAAGGCCCUGCCCUGAUGAAAGCUACAAUUAUUACUAAGCAACGCAGUGGUUAAAUUAUUGAAAUACGUAUAUUUCUUAAGUGUUUUAUAUGCAUAGAAAGGUAAAAUAUGUUCUAUAUACUAAGAAAAAUGUUUGACUAACUGACGCUAAAUAAUACCGGAUGUACCUGUUCUGACUUCAAAUCCGACUCAGGAAUGGAACUCAUUCAUAACCUGGGGACUGCUUGUACUUUUAAGUCAUUUCUAGAUUACUUAUAAUAUGUAAUACAAAGUAAACGCUAUGUAAAUAGUUGUCAUACUGUAUUGUUUAGGGAAUAAGAAAAAAUAGUCUGUACAUGCUCUGCUCAAGCAAUUGUAACCCCCUGGGUCGCCUCAGGCUCGCUCAGCUCGUUCCGUCUAGGGGGAGCAGCCUUCGGCCCCACCAAACUGGGUAAUCAGCUGGUGUGGAUGCUGUGUGAUGUCCCCGCCUCGCCCAAAACCAGACAGUACACCAUAUGCAAUUAAAUCAGUACAAUUUAUAAAGGUUACUAUAACUAAGUGAUUAAUAACGAUACAGUAUAUAUGAAGAGAAAAUUAAAGAAAAGGCGCCAAACUUAUCAAAGUCCAAACCACUUCGUGCACAACCGUUGGAGCUCAAUUACUGAAGUCUUCUGGCCACCAUUCGAUCCCCUCCGAACUCCUCGACUCGCAGCUCAGGACCCUCCGAACUCCUCAACUCUCCAAACAGCUCAGGACCCUCCGAGUGGUCAACCAAGCACAUCUAGCUUCAU